rnacentral:rRNA from 1 species
UACAGAGGGUGCGAGCGUUGUCCGGAAUCAUUGGGCGUAAAGGGCGCGUAGGCGGCUGAUCAAGUCGGAGGUGAAAUCCCUCGGCUCAACUGAGGAAUUGCCUUCGAUACUGUUCGGCUUGAGUCCUGGAGAGGGUAGCGGAAUUCCCGGUGUAGCGGUGAAAUGCGUAGAGACCGGGAAGAACACCAGUGGCGAAGGCGGCUACCUGGACAGGUACUGACGCUGAAGCGCGAAAGCUAGGGGAGCAAACAGG